rnacentral:misc_RNA from 1 species
UCCGGCUUAUCACCGGCAGUCCCUUUAGAGUGCCCAACUAAAUGCUGGCAACAUGCGACGAGGGUUGCGCUCGUUGCGGGACUUAACCCAACACCUCACGGCACGAGCUGACGACAGCCAUGCACCACCUGUGAAGGUGCCCCGAAGGGAGACCGUGUUUCCACGGCUGUCACCUACAUGUCAAGCCCAGGUAAGGUUCUUCGCGUUGCGUCGAAUUGAACCACAUGCUCCGCUGCUUGUGCGGGUCCCCGUCAAUUCCUUUGAGUUUUAGCCUUGCGGCCGUACUCCCCAGGCGGGGAACUUAAUGCGUUAGCUUCGGUACGGACGGAGUCGACACCGCCCACACCUAGUUCCCAUCGUUUACGGCGUGGACUAC